AUUUAAAUAGUUUAAUUAGAAUAUUGAUUUGUGAUAUCAAAGGUAUAUUAUAUAUUUUAAAUA
rnacentral:tRNA from 1 species